GACGUAGGGCGCGAGCGUUGUCCGGAUUUAUUGGGCGUAAAGAGCUCGUAGGCGGUUCGAUAAGUCGGAUGUGAAAUCUCCACGCUCAACGUGGAGGGGCCAUUCGAUACUGUCGUGACUCGAGUCCGGUAGGGGAGUGUGGAAUUCCCGGUGUAGCGGUGAAAUGCGCAGAGAUCGGGAGGAACACCAGUGGCGAAGGCGACACGCUGGGUCAUACCUGACGCUAAUACGCGACAGCAUGGGGAGCAAACGGG
rnacentral:rRNA from 1 species